GUAGAAUAAAAUGAAUUAAGAUC
rnacentral:piRNA from 1 species